GGUUAGUUAGCUAGCCAAUGCCUGCAGUGUUCUUUUUUUUGGGUGUGGUCUUUGGUUCAUAGAGCAUAAGCUCUUCUAUGCACACAAGCUAACUUCGGUGCUGGCAUUUUCAGUUUACCUUCCGUCAUAUGCUGCCAAACUUCAAUGAAUGCUGGUGGGACAGUAUCAUUCUUGAUAUUUUGAUUUGCAAUUGGUUUGGUAAGAUUUACUGAGCUUCUGCUUCUGCUACUACUGUAAUUGCUGUUUGCCAUUAUCACUUUUAGGUUGUCUUUUUGUUUAACUAAUUCUAUAGUAAUGUGAGUUAAAUAGUUGGAAGCUUCAAAUAUUUGAGACAAGUUUACAUCUGAGGGUCUUUUCUAAACUUUUUUUAAUUAGAAGACAAUUUUCAUUUAGAGGGGAAUCAACGUGAAGUUACCAUUCAUAUUGGCUUGAGUGAUUCAAUAUAUAUAAUUUAAUGAAAGUUUCUCAGUAAUUACAGGCCAGUGAACUUUGGCUUCCAAUUAAGAACACAUAUGCUAACAAAGAACCUCAACAGGCUGAGAAGCAUGAAUUGAUCUGCCUAUUGUGAUAUGCCACACUUGAUCUGUUGAACUCUUGGUAUCACGAUCUAAAUUGGAAUUUGAAAAGGGAUAAAUGACUCUACCAAAGGAAUAAUGAGGGUUAUUUGUGUAUUAUAUUUCUUAAGUUGGUUACCAAUUGAAUUGUUUCCUUGCAGCCUAUUGUGACCAUUUCUCUGGUUUAUUUUACAGGUAUCUGGGCAGGGAUGCAUACAG
rnacentral:misc_RNA from 1 species